AGUACCUGAUGCGUAGUUAAUGCUCAACAAGGGUGAGCUACUGUCGAGAUACAUAACAUGUAAAUGUUGAAUCUGCAUCUCACUUGAAAUGGUUGGGUUUGGAGAAACGGAUAGUCAAGCUUAUUGGAAUUAUUGUUAAAAGUGUUCUUUCUUGGAACCAUCUGCCAAGCUGUGAGGAAGCUCCAGAGCCAUAUGACAAGACCUGAUGGAGGAUAACUGAGGACUUUGGCCAACAACCCCAGCUGAGCUCCAGUUGGAAUGUGAAUGAGGCCAUUUUGAGUGUUCCAGCCUAUUGGAGCCCUAGCCAACACUCUACAAACUAGAACUGCCUGAUUGACCCGCAGAAUCAUAAGAAAUAAAGUAAUUUGAAGGCCUUCCCUGACUUAAAGUGGAUGCUGCUUUGGAAAGCACUGGAAAAAUGGAUCCUGUCUUUCUUAGCCAAGGACUGGUCUCUUUUCUCCAAUGUGUCCCUAACAGAGUGGUGAGGCUGGCUCUUCCCACCAGUACAGACAGAAUUUUCAAUUCACAAAUCAUCUGAAAAACAGGAAAUUUUGGAGAAACAUGCUUAUGAUAACAAACAAGGGAUCUAUCGUGUGGUAUAGAAGUUUACACAAAGAGGCAUCUGAUUUUAAGUUUUUGUUUUUUUUUUUUUUUUUUUUUUUACCGUUCUGGGCUUCUGGCUGCAUUCUAGGAAGAUCAUUCCUUAAAAGAAAUAGCCAUAUGGCUUAUAAGGGACUAUAUCUUAAGACUAUGUGUCUUCUGCAGUUCUUUGCAUAGAGUCAACGUUGAAGGACAAGCAACUUCAAAUUUCCAAGCAACAAAAUUAUGUUCGGGUGGUUUUCUGAAAGCGAGAUCU
ensembl:lncRNA DARS1-AS1 DARS1 antisense RNA 1